CUUUGCGUUAGGGCGCGAGUGACGGAAACAGAUCCCUCUAUUUGUAGGCCUUUUCAUUUUGAAGAGCCCCAGGGAUCUUGGACCUCUUCUCCAUCUAGACCAAUGCCCUAAAUGGUAACGUCCUUUGCAUGCAGUCUGCACAUUGACAACUCCCAAAUUAUAGCCGCAAAACUGACUAUUAGUCCCAGACUCAAAUGUACCCAGCAUUUCAACGUGAGCUUGUCCCAAACCAAGUUUCCCCAUGUAGCUUACCAAACCUGCUCCAGCUGCACUCUUCACCUCGGUGAAUGGCCACUCCAUCUGUACAGUUCCCCAGACUCAAAACCUUAGAGUCAUCAUUGACUUUUUCUCUUACACUGUGCAUGAAAUCUACCAAAAAACCUUUUAACUCUAAUCUUUACGGCAUAUUCAGACCCAAUCAGUUCACACCACCUCCGAAGUUUCAACUCUAGUGCACACCACCACUAUCUCCUGCUUUGAUUUUGGGAAUCACCUCGUCACUAAUCACCUUGCUUCCCCUCUUCCUCCUGUGCUUUAUUCUUCAUAAAGCAGCCAGAGUGAAGUUUUAAAAGUCAAAUUAUGCUUAAAGGUCUCCAAGGCUUGCUAUCUCAUUUAGAGUAAAAGAUGUAGUAGGUAUUAUAAGUGACCUAACAAGCCAGUAGAUCAUCUGGACCCAUUACCUCUCUGACCUCAUCUCCUAAAUGUUCCCCUCUUGCUCACUUGACUCCAACCACACAGAUUUCCCUUCAGUUCCUCAGCUACUCCCAUCCUGCUUUCAUCUUGUCCUGUUAUAUUUGCUAUUACCUCUACCCGGAAUGUUCUUCUCCCAGUUAUCUGCAUAGCUCUUUCCCUGUCUCCUUCAUAUUUUGCUCAAAUGUCAUCUGCUCAAUGAGACCUUCCCUGACCAGUCUAUUUAAAAAUGUAACUAACCUGCCUACAAGAACUUCUCAUCUUGCUUUCCUGCUUUAUUUUUUUUGUUUUACAGUAUUUUACUUAUUUUAUUUACUUUUGGUCUUCCCUGACUAUUGUAUUAAUUCCACAAGAUCAGGGAUUUUGUCAUUAUUUUAAAUAUAAUAACUGCUUCUCGAAAGUCUAAACAAUGCCCAGUAUAUAGUUGGCACUCAAUAAAUAUUUUUGAAUGUGUAUAUGAGUAAAAGAAGGAGGUAGGCCUUUGGAGAGUGAUGUAAAGUUUAUUUAUUUAUUUAUUUUGAGACGGAAUCUCUCUCCGUUGCCAGGCUGGAGUGCAGUGGUGCGAUCUCGCGUCACUGCAACCUCUGCCUGCCGGGUUCACGCGAUUCUUCUGCCUUAGACUCCUGAG
rnacentral:lncRNA from 10 species